GAUGGUUCACACUUGACGAGCAGCCUCUGUUGAGAAAUUUUUAGCAGACUAAAUAUCUAGGUGAUCUUACACUAAAUAAUUUGUUAGACAAAUUCUCACCCUUGCGUAGAUAUGAAGACCAUAAUUUUCAUCACGGUCCUCGUUUUGGCCCUCAUGUGCAUCCUGGAAGCGGACAUGGUUGAAGGGAAAUGUAAAGGGAUUAAAAGGGCGCUGUGUCAUGCGCACUGCGCAUUGAAAGGUUUCGCCUGCAUCUGGCCGGAUGGCGUAUGUCAGUGCCAGACCUUCUAAGAGGACU